rnacentral:misc_RNA from 1 species
AAAGAAAAAGGCAAAUCUCUAAAUUAACGACAUGCAAUGCAGGAAGAUACCAUCCUCAGCCAAACAAAAGAGUCACAAGGCCUAACCACUAGAAUAGAAUUAGGGGUACAAUCCAAAUUAGAACCAAAGGACAAUAGGAUUCAAGAAAAGACUAAAGGCUAUAGGGGCUAAGCGAAGCAAUUAGAAGGCACUGGCAAAUAAUAGAGGGCAAUGAUGACAUAGAUCGUUGUCGUCUCACUUGUGCCGUACCUUACACCAAACCAGCAAAAGGAAGCUCAGAUCCUCUCGUGCCUCUGCGCUGACGACAAAUCGUGCAGGACAACAAUAAUAACCCUCACCAUUUCAACAUAACACCUACAGAAACACUAAAAAACUAUGUAAGUGCCCUACUGGGAGGUAAGAAGAGAUAAACCCCAUAUGGGCGGUGGAAAGGGAAGCCAUCACUUGCCCAGAGGGAUGGGGACAGAUGAUAAAAUAAACGAAGAACAAGACAAGUUCUCGAGAAAAAUUAGAAGAAAAAGAGAGAGUUUCUCUUGAUUAAUUGGAGCUUACUCACAUAUAAAAGGAGUUCAUUAACUUAAAAAAAAUGCAUAAAUGAAAAACAUUUUUAAGAAUAAAUUGAAAAAGUAAUACGUAUUAAUUUUGAAAGUUAAAGGCCAAUUAAUCACCCAAACAUCCACUUCAUGCUUUCACCCCUUACGCUUCUCCCUACUCUCCUCCCCUCUCUCUCACCACCACACACCCUCCCAUCCCCCCAAAAAAAGAAAAAAAAAAAUCAUAGCUCACAUUGACACAUAUUGCUCCAUGUUUCCACCCCAUCCCUCCUCAAUUGCUCAACCCCUUCCUGCAAUCCCUUUCAGAGACUUCAGCAUUCCACCAAAUCUCCAUCCCUUCUCUCUUUAGUAUCGAUUCAUCCAACAUCUUAUUUGCUUAUCUUAAGACCCACCCAAAACAUCCCCUCUUUUUGCUUAUUUCUACUAAAACCCUCUUCUUUUGUCGCAAUCCACCCUCCCCUAAUCCUUAUAUUAUCCCUUUCUUUACCGUAGCUCCCAAUCCCCACCUCCUUCUCUAUUGUUCACCUACCCAAUGCUCAACCUCAACAAUGGUGUAAAGGCUCGAACCUCAUCGAAAUCUAAUGAUAAGAAGCGCUUCUUAGGUGUUAAAUGGCCUUAAUGAUGCUCAAUUUGUUAAGCUCCCUCCUAUGGUCCCCUCCUUCGACUCCUUUGUUGUUGGAAGCCUCUAGCCAUGUCAUCCCUAUCGUACUUCCACUAUCAUAGUAUGUUGAGAACCUAUACUCACUUCCUUGGUUGUUCAUUUUGUAAUAUUUUUAAUUUCAGAUUCCAAGUUUGUCUAUUUCAAAAUUGUUAUUGGGAUGCUUUGCUGUAUUUGUGAACUUGUUUAUAGUUAUUUAUUUUUGUUUCUAUUUUUUGCUUUCUCUUGAUUUGUGUUUUUGCAUAUAGUUU